AUUUAUAUAGUUUAAAAAAAACCUUACAUUUUCAUUGUAAAAUUAUAUUACUUAUUAUAAAUA
rnacentral:tRNA from 1 species